rnacentral:SRP_RNA from 1 species
GCCGGGCGUGGUGGUGCGUGCCUGUAGUCCCAGCUACUCAGGAGGCUGAGGCAGGAGAAUUGCUUGAACCCAGGAGGCGGAGGUUGCAGUGAGCCAAGACAGUGCCACUGCACUCCAGCCUGGGCGACAGAGUGAGAUUUUGCCUCAA